AGCUUUGCACAGUGGCAUUAUCGUAGCCAAUGAGGUUUAUCCGAGGCACCAUUAUUGCUAAUUGAAAACUUCCCAAUACCCCACAGUAAUGACUUGCAAUACAGUCGGUACUGGCAAUUUUCGACAAUCUCUAUGGAGA
ensembl:snRNA U4 U4 spliceosomal RNA